UCGAGAAUCUUCCGCAAUGGGCGAAAGCCUGACGGAGCGACGCCGCGUGUAGGAUGAAGGCCCUCGGGUUGUAAACUACUGUCACGGGUUAUGAAUGUGCAUAUGUUAACAGCGUGUGUAUUGACGUAAGCCCGAAAGGAAGCACCGGCUAACUCUGUGCCAGCAGCCGCGGUAAUACAGAGGGUGCAAACGUUGUUCGGAAUUACUGGGCAUAAAGCGCGCGUAGGCGGCGACGUAAGUGUAGGGUGAAAUCCCACGGCUCACCCGUGUGAAUUGCCCCGCAUACUGCGUUGCUUGAGUGUGGUAGGGGAGAGCGGAACUCCUGGUGGAGCGGUGAAAUGCGUAGAUAUCAGGAGGAACACCGGUGGCGUAGGCGGCUCUCUGGUCCAUAACUGACGCUGAAGUGCGAAAGCUAGGGUAGCGAACGGGAUUAGAUACCCCAGUAGUCCCUGAGCGGGCUGGCAAGGCGCAU
rnacentral:rRNA from 1 species